rnacentral:rRNA from 1 species
GUCCUAGCCGUAAACGGUGCACGUUUGCUGUAAAAGGAAUCGACCCCUUUUGUGGCGUAGCCAACGCGUUAAACGUGCCGCCUGGGAAGUACGGUCGCAAGAUUAAAACUCAAAGAAAUUGACGGGGCCUGCACAAGCGGUGGAGUAUGUGGCUCAAUUCGAUGCAACGCGAAGAACCUUACCUGGCCUUGACAUGUGGGUGGUAGAAGUGUGAAAGCACGACGACCUCGCAAGAGGAGCCUACACAGGUGCUGCAUGGCUGUCGU